rnacentral:rRNA from 1 species
UGGAGAGUUUGAUCCUGGCUCAGGACGAACGCUGGCGGGCGAUGCUUAACACAUGCAAGUCGAACGGAAAGGCCCUUCGGGGUACUCGAGUGGCGAACGGGUGAGUAACACGUGGGUGAUCUGCCCUGCACUUUGGGAUAAGCCUGGGAAACUGGGUCUAAUACCGAAUAUGACCAUGCACUUCCUGGUGUGUGGUGGAAAGCUUUUGCGGUGUGGGAUGGGCCCGCGGCCUAUCAGCUUGUUGGUGGGGUAAUGGCCUACCAAGGCGACGACGGGUAGCCGGCCUGAGAGGGUGACCGGCCACACUGGGACUGAGAUACGGCCCAGACUCCUACGGGAGGCAGCAGUGGGGAAUAUUGCACAAUGGGCGCAAGCCUGAUGCAGCGACGCCGCGUGAGGGAUGACGGCCUUCGGGUUGUAAACCUCUUUCAACAGGGACGAAGCGCAAGUGACGGUACCUAUAGAAGAAGGACCGGCCAACUACGUGCCAGCAGCCGCGGUAA